AUGAAGAGAUACAGAGGGUGAGGUCCAGAAGAGUCCUGAGUACAGGGGUUCUGUGCCUGUCGAGUGGCAACAUGCCACUAUCCCAGGAUGUCAAUGCUCACCCCACAGCUCCCCGAAUCUGGUCCUACUGGGAUUUUUAUGGAGGCUUCACCAUAUAGGCCCUGGAACUGGGGUAUAGGCCAAGUUGAACCAGAUCCCUGAGGAGUGAGAUGGGGGCCUCAGAUGAUAUCAGAUAAUAACUACGUUGGGUGAACUCAGAACCUUCCAAUUCAGAGUCCAUCUGCACACAAGUGCUUUCAACCCCGAAGAGCUGGUCAGAUGUGAAAAAAAUCAAUCGAUGGUCAAAGAAAGAAACGGAACGUUCUAUUUGAGCCAGCCUGAGGACUAUAGCCCAGGAGACAGCGGAUACUCUGGGGAACUGCUCUGAAGAGGUAAGGGGAGAGGUCAUUAAUGUGCUUUUGAUAAAGAGGUCCAUGCAACCAAGUACACAUCUCAGCAGGAGAUUGUUGCUAGUCAUGAGCAACAGACGUCUUAGAUGAUGUUUGUAGUGCUUUUCUAAGUAUGGGAAGGUGUAAGAAUCCAGGCUAUAAAAAAUUUUUCCUUAAAAUAUCUAAGGCCUUCUGCCUAAUAUCUGAAGGCCUUCUGCCAGA